rnacentral:rRNA from 1 species
UACGUAGGGUGCGAGCGUUAAUCGGAAUUACUGGGCGUAAAGCGUGCGCAGGCGGUUCGUUGUGUCGGCGGUGAAAGCCCCGGGCUUAACCUGGGAAUGGCCGUUGAAACUGGCGAACUGGAGUGUGGCAGAGGGGGGUGGAAUUCCGCGUGUAGCAGUGAAAUGCGUAGAGAUGUGGAGGAACACCGAUGGCGAAGGCAGCCCCCCUGGGCUAACACUGACGCUCAUGCACGAAAGCGUGGGGAGCAAACAGG